GUAGCAUAGUGGUAGUGCGUUCCCUUCGUAAGGGAAAUGUCGUGAGUUUGAUCCUCACUGUUUUACA
rnacentral:tRNA from 1 species